rnacentral:rRNA from 1 species
GACGAUGCGUAGGGGUUCUGAGAGGAAGGUCCCCCACACUGGUACUGAGACACGGACCAGACUCCUACGGGAGGCAGCAGUGAGGAAUAUUGGUCAAUGGCCGCAGGGCUGAACCAGCCAAGUCGCGUGAGGGAUGACGGUCCUAUGGAUUGUAAACCUCUUUUGUCAGGGAGCAAAGGGCGCCACGUGUGGCGUUUUGCGAGUACCUGAAGAAAAAGCAUCGGCUAACUCCGUGCCAGCAGCCGCGGUAAUACGGAGGAUGCGAGCGUUAUCCGGAUUUAUUGGGUUUAAAGGGUGCGCAGGCGGAAUGUCAAGUCAGCGGUAAAAUUUCGGGGCUCAACCCCGUCGUGCCGUUGAAACUGGCGUUCUUGAGUGAGCGAGAAGUAUGCGGAAUGCGUGGUGUAGCGGUGAAAUGCAUAGAUAUCACGCAGAACUCCGAUUGCGAAGGCAGCAUACCGGCGCUCAACUGACGCUCAUGCACGAAAGCGUGGGUAUCGAACAGGAUUAGAUACCCUGGUAGUCCACGCAGUAAACGAUGAAUACUAACUGUCCGGGC